CCCUUAGAUGUUCUGGGCCGCACGCGCGCUACACUGAUGCAUUCAACGAGUUUCUUCCUGGUCCGAGAGGAAUGGGUAACCUUUUGAAAGUGCAUCGUGAUAGGGAUAGACUAUUGCAAUUAUUGGUCUUCAACGAGGAAUUCUUAGUAGACGUAGUUCAUCAGACUGCAUCGAUUACGUCCCUGCCCUUUGUACACACCGCCCGUCGCUCCUACCGAUUGAAUGCUCAGGUGAGCCAUUCGGACUUUCAUCAUGCUGGUUUCCAGUUUUGAUGAAGGAAAGUCUUGCGAACCUUAUCAUUUAGAGGAAGGAGAAGUCGUAACA
rnacentral:rRNA from 1 species